UUAAAAAAGUGGAGAAAGACGAGGGACCAAACCCUUCCUACCUUCCCCCUUCAGCUUUAGUUCCUCACUUCUGCGCUCGAAUCACAUCGUUCGUCGUUUUCUCCCUUCUCCCGGCCGGCAGCGCAGCCUCCUCCUCCGUCUGUUGGCGACGAAGCUUCCUUCCCCUCCGGCUAAGAUACAGCCUCUUCCGGAACGUGAUUCAAGCCUUAAUAGGAUUUGCGCACAAAAGAACAUCCAAGGAUGACAAGUUGGCGUUGUUGGUUUUAUUAUUGGAAUGGGUAGCCGGUUAAUGAGUCAAUAGUUGACGGUAUUGGAUGGGUUCAUGAAUGAGUGGUAUGGAUAGAUUGUAAUGCGUAUGCGGCAUGUGACUUCUCCUUAUUUAUGUUGAAGGUUUUCAAAAUGAAUAUUUUGGUGUUUGAAGCUUCCAAGUAUGAUUUCUUCCUUUCGACAUUCUCCAGCCCUCUCAAAGUUCAAAAUUUUCUAUUCUUCUUCCUUGGCUACGCAGUCUCUUUCUUCCAGUCCAAUUUCUUCGAAGUUCACCAAUUUCUCUGUCCUCCUGCUGGGUUGCAUCCCGACCCACCAUCUCCUGCAAAUUCAUGCUCAAAUCUAUCGAGUUGGCGCACAUCAAGACAAUUUGAUAGCGACUCGUCUAAUUGGUCAUUACCCACCUUAUUUUGCUCUUCGAGUAUUUUAUCAACUCCAAUUACCCAAUAUAUUCCCCUUCAAUGCUGUUAUCAGAGUCCUGGCUGAAGAGGGUCUCUUCUCUGAUGCCUUCUUCUUAUUCAAAACUUUAAAGCGGGUGUCACUUUCACCUAAUGACUUAACCUUCUCUUUUCUCCUCAAGGCCUGCUUUCAAUCCAGCAAUUCUCAGCAUGUCCAACAAAUUCAUACCCAUAUUAUGAAGAUAGGCUUUGUUCUUGAUUCCUUUGUUUGCAAUGGCCUUGUCCUUGUUUAUGCUAAGGGUCUAAGAGACUUGGUAUCAGCACAUAAGGUAUUUCAUGAGAUGCCGGAAAAGAGUGUGGUUAGCUGUUGGACGUCUUUGGUUUCUGGUUGUGCUCAGUUAGGUCAGACUGACGAAGUUCUACAACUUUUCUUCCUGAUGGUUAGGGAGGAUUUGAGGCCAGAAGAUGACAUGAUGGUCAGUGUUCUGUCUGCUUGCUCAAAGCUUGAGAUCGUGAAAAUUGAGAAAUGGGUUGGGAUUUUCUCAGAAUUCAUUGGUUCUGUUGACUCCAGGAAUCUUGUUAGAGAUCCAGUUAACACAAUUCUUGUUUAUUUGUAUGGAAAGUGGGGAAAGAUUGAGAAGAGCAGGGAAAAGUUUGAUGAAAUUGCUGAGAAGGGAAAAAGAAGUGUGCUUCCUUGGAAUUCUAUGAUAGGUGCCUAUGCACAAAAUGGUUGUGCUAUGGAGGCAUUGAAACUAUUCCGUUUGAUGGUGGACAAUCCCCAUUGUAGUCCCAAUCAUGUUACAAUGGUUAGUGUUCUUUCAGUCUGUGCUCAAAUUGGUGAUUUAGAUCUUGGGAAGUGGAUUCAUGGGUACAUGGAAUCUAAAGGAUGCAAUGGUGUUGUAGAAUCAAAUAUGUUUUUGGCAACUGCAUUGAUAGAUAUGUAUUCUAAAUGUGGAAGUUUGGAGAGGGCAAAGGAGGUUUUUGAUCGGAUGGUCUCCAAAGAUGUUGUUUCCUUUAAUGCCAUGGUUAUGGGUCUUGCAAUAAAUGGGGAAGGAGAGGAGGCAUUGAGACUUUUCUCCAGAAUGCAGGAGUUUAGAUUGCAACCCAAUGCCAGUACAUUCCUUAGUGUUUUAUGUGCUUGCAGUCACUCUGGUUUCAUAAAGGAAGGUCGUCGUCUAUUCCUAGAGAUGAGUCAAAGAUUUUCAUUGUCACCAAAAUUGGAACAUUAUGCUUGCUAUAUUGAUCUACUUUCAAGGGUUGGCCUUAUUGAGGAUGCUUUUGAGGUUGUUAUGUCCAUGCCUUUCAAGCCCAAUAAUUUUGUUUGGGGAGCUUUGCUUGGAGGUUGCCACCUCCAUUCUAGAGUUGAGUUGGCCCGAGAUAUUUCAAAAAGGCUUGUUGAAGCAGACCCAGAAAGUUCUGCAGGUUAUGUGCUGUUGUCUAAUGCAUUUGCAGUUGAUGGCCGAUGGCGCGAUGUCUCAGGGCUGAGGUUGUUCAUGAGGGAAAAUGGGGUAAGGAAGCAGCCUGGGCAUAGUUGGAUCAGCAUCAAUGGAAUUGUGCAUGAGUUUAUUGUUGGUUCCCAAUCACAUGCUCAAGUUGAGAGCAUAUAUUACACAUUGGAUGGAUUAGUAAAGGAAAUGAAAGCGGCAAGCCCCUAGGGAUUCUGCAAAUGCUACUUGAAGAUGCUGAUAUUACUUGAGGCUGACGUGCAUACGAACUCUUCCGCAGCAUGUGUGGCCUUUGUUGCCAAUAUGGAUGGUAAAAAUGACCAUGUUACAGUGUUUCAGAAUGUGUUGUGUCACCUGCCAGCUUGGUUUUUUAGCAUCCCUCCAGAUUAAAAUAAGCGUUCUGGGAACAACUGCCAGUCUUUUACUAAGUGAUUCACAAUUGAUGGCCCACAACAGCUUUUGAGAAGCGUUAUAAAGAAAUUAAUGCUGAGAAGUUUGUAUACUGCUAAAAUAGUGUGAAGAAACAGGAAGGAAACAUAACCUCACUUUACUAAAAGCUGCUAUGAGGAUGGAAAAUGAGAUACAGGCGCGAAACGUUAUGGGCUCACACAACAAUACAAGCCACGAGAGGAGAAGAGGAGCUAUAAGUUUUAUGCUAGGUUUUAUGCACCGCCUUGCACUAGUCCAUGGCCCAUUGCCCGUAGCAUCAUUACUCAUGGAAUUACAGUUGUGCAAGGCUAUAUAUUUAUUUAUUUAUUAUUAUUAUUUGAUGACUUGGAACACCAGCCUUGGACGAACUCUUCGAUCCCCCCAAGCGGCCCCAAAUCAGGGGAAGAUUGCAGCUCCACAGAUAACUUCUGAGUAAAUCUGAUCUUAAUGGUAGCAGACUUGAACCCUCGACCAUGUGGUAAACCAAGCCCAAGCCUUACCACUUGAGCAACCUCAAGAAGGCAAAAUGCUAAACAUAUAGAAUAUCAAUGGAAAUGUUUGAUUCAGCA